AGUGAACGCUGGCGGUAGGCCUAACACAUGCAAGUCGAACGGCAGCACAGUAAGAGCUUGCUCUUACGGGUGGCGAGUGGCGGACGGGUGAGGAAUACAUCGGAAUCUACUUUUUCGUGGGGGAUAACGUAGGGAAACUUACGCUAAUACCGCAUACGACCUACGGGUGAAAGCAGGGGAUCUUCGGACCUUGCGCGAUUGAAUGAGCCGAUGUCGGAUUAGCUAGUUGGCGGGGUAAAGGCCCACCAAGGCGACGAUCCGUAGCUGGUCUGAGAGGAUGAUCAGCGACACUGGAGCUGAGACGCGGUCCAGACUACUACGGGAGGCAGCAGUGGGGAAUAUUGGAUAAUGGGCGCAAGCCUGAUCCAGCCAUACCGCGUGGGUGAAGAAGGCCUUCGGGUUGUAAAGCCCUUUUGUUGGGAAAGAAAAGCAGCAGGUUAAUACCCCGCCGUUCUGACGGUACCCAAAGAAUAAGCACCGGCUAACUUCGUG
rnacentral:rRNA from 1 species